ACUGAUUUGCUCGAGGCAGAUAGAAAAAGCAAGUCAUUUGCAAUCUUGACUUCUGAACGCGGUUUAGUCCUUUAGAUGAGAGAGCCCAGAUUUGUCCACAGUCUCACAAACACAGCCCAAAAUGCUUCCUUCCUAUGGGCUGCACUUAUGGGUGGGAAAACACUGAUGUUAGUGCAGCCUACACCUGUUGAGAAGGGUAGUUGGUGCACGUGGUAGUUUCUCAUAGGCAGGCCAGCAAGUAAGGAUUGCUAAUGUUAUAAAGAUAGAUGAACAAAAUAAUGGUGUCUCGUUGAUGUGUGCCCCAGUUUCCCCAGCACCAAAAUGCGUAAUCAUAUUAAUUUCAGCUGUGUACUUCUCACUCUGAUCCAAGCAUGGAAAACAGUACGUGUGAACUGGAUGUUACAGAGAGAGCAAUUUUCUUUCUCAGUUUUCUAGUUUCAGAAAAAAAUCCUACAUUAUAUUUGUUUCAUACAAACUAAGCACAGAUGAUGGAUAUUUCUGAAACUUCAAAGGCUGUGCUUACUUCAGCACCCACAUUUGGAAACAUAUUUUUUGAGGUAAAAUUGUCAGUAUUUCUCUGGAGCAUAGGCUGCCAGCUAGCCUUAUAUUCCGAAGUCACUUCAUUUAUUUAUAACUUCAGAAACAAUUCAUGUUGUAGUAUUUGGUCCUAGCACAGCCAUUAGAGUAUUUAUUUAUACUGGUCCCGUAAAUUGUGGUUGCUACAAGAACUGGUGAAUGGAGUGCUGUCAAUUUCAGUACACUGUGCAGCAGGCUGCUGGCACUCCUCAGCAGGUUGGCGCUGACACUGUGCCAGCAAAGGCCUCACAUAAGUUACCUUUCACUGUUUUCCAUUUUGUAAAUACUGAGCGGUCUUGUCUUCUGUGUACAUGUUUAAGACCCAGCAUUUAGCAAGCUAUAGGCAGAGUUGUCAUUAAAAUUCCAAUUUUUCUCCUUCCUUACUUGGAGUUGGAACAUGUUUCUGUGUGUAAUGAGCAUUAAGAAGCUGUGAAAAGCUUCCUGCUAAUGGAUGUAUGUUCAGAGAUUUUAUUGUCCUGACUUUGUGCCAUCUCACAGGACUCAGGCUAACAGACUAUUUGUUACCCAGAGCUUCAUGUAAUGAAUUAGCUGAUCAUAGAAAUGUGCCAGGUGUUCCCUACAUGUUUUAAUGACAAGUUCUGUGGAAUAAAUGCACAGGUACUGGCAUGUUAAGUUACAACGGCUUUCACGUUAUCUGUGUGACGUAAAGCAAUCUGUUGCAUAAAGAUGAAGCUAACGCGUGCUUGCUGCUUGGAUUGGUGUGGAAAUAUGUGUGGGUUUGGCAGAAUAUAGGUUAUAUUGCUAAUCUUAUAACACGUUCUUUAGGGUGAGGAAGCAAAAAACAUUCCUGGUGAAUCUGUAACAGAGGAGCAGUUUACCGAUGAAGAAGGCAACGUCAUCACAAGAAAAAUCACCCGGAAGGUAGUAAGGCGUGUUGUUAUCCCACAUGAGAGGAAAGCUGGUGAAAUGCAGGGCGAAGCUUACAAGGUUAAAACAAAGAAAGAAGUCAGACACGUGGAGAAGAAAAGUUACUCAUGAAAGCUGAAAGCCAACCACUGACCGGACCGUGUGCUUUUACUGCCAGUAUUCCGGAGGGACAGUCACAGAAGAAAAAUCAACAGGAAUUAAACAUUCACCUAUAAAAGUGUGCGUGUGUUUGCUGCUUCCACACAUUAACCGCAUGGUUUUUAUGCAAAAGCAAAAUCAAAACAAAGAAACAAAAAAUUAAUUUAGCAUGAGCCAAUUUACAGAGCAUGGAAAUUCACUUUCAUUCACAGGAUUGGAGAGUGCGCAGUUAACAAUGCAGUGUAUAUACAAGAUGUCAUGCUGUUAACAGCUUAUUUCAAGCAGUUUGAUGUCAUCACAAAAGAAAUAAAUUCCUGUGGCUAGAGGGGAUGUAUGAAGAUGAAAUGGUUAAACCAUGGAAAGACACUAAAAUUACUAAAAUCCACAACAGCUCGCCUUAUUUUUCUCGGACCCAAACUGUCAGGGUAUAAAACACUAGUUGUUUCUUUUUUAAACAUCGAUAGUUUUGCUGUAAAUAAAUAACACUGUAUAAAUUCUAACAAAAUAGAAUAAAUGUUGAUAAGGCACUGCCUUUUCGAUCACAAACAGAAUACUGGAAAUGCAUUGAGCAGGCUAGGUGUCUCAAACAGUUACACCUACAGGGAUAUUCUGGGUGUAUCUUCACAGAUUCUUGUAUAUUAGCAAUUAUAAUGUUUGUAUAUGCAAAAACGCUAGCUUGAUUUUAAAAAAAUCUUUAAAAUCUGCUGCAAAUUUAAAUGAUUCCCAAAAUGAGGAAUUCUGUAGUUCUGUGAAAAUUUUUCUUCAGAGUACUAAUAUUUUGAUGCAUGUGUUUCACCUUAUUUUGAUUAAAUCUUUUCCAGUUUUGCAAACACUAUACUGCAACAUGAAAAAUAAGAUUUUAUCUGUAAACACAAAGCCCUUCAUCUAAUAUUUGUUGCUGUUGCCAAUUUUUCAAUGAAAUGACCUAAAAACCAUAACAUAUACAGUAGUUGCAUUAUGGGGAGGGGGGUGCUAUCUGUUCUCGCUUUAUAACGGGGGUAAUGCUUGCAGCUUUAGAAGUGGGUUGGUGCUCCAGCGGGCACAAGUUUGGGAUAUUUUUAAAUGAACUGAAGAGAAAUUAUUAGCUAAUAGACUGGCAGCACGCUGUAAAAUUAUUACUGUAUUGUGUACUGGCUAUAAGAUGUAGAAUCUUUCAGUAAGCCAAUCAUCUGUAAUCAUCCUAGCAGUGUAAUAUUAGGUUGUUAAGGCUGCUGUGUUUUAAAGGGCAUUUUUAUUUGGGUUUUGGUGAAAUACUUUAAUUUGUUGAUUAUAUUCAUAUGGAAACAGCAUUCAUUGAUAAUAGCUCUAAUUACAUAUGUAUGAAAACAACAAACACUGGAUGAUCUAGUUGAUUAUUUAAGCAUAAAAUAAAUUGUGUUAAAACUCUUGGA